rnacentral:rRNA from 1 species
AUUGAACGCUGGCGGCAGGCCUAACACAUGCAAGUCGAACGAGUGGCGGACGGGUGAGUAAUGUCGGGGCAACUGCCUGAUGGAGGGGGAUAACUACUGGAAACGGUAGCUAAUACCGCAUAACAUCAGAUGUGCCCAGAUGGGAUUAGCUUGUUGGUGGGGUAACGGCUCACCAAGGCGACGAUCCCUAGCUGGUCUGAGAGGAUGACCAGCCACACGGGAACUGAGACACGGUCCAGACUCCUACGUGAGGCAGCAGUUGGGAAUAUUGCACAAUGGGCGAAAGCCUGAUCGAGCAAUGCCGCGUGUGUGAAGAAGGUUUUCGGAUUGUAAAGCACUUUUAGUUGGGAGGCGUUACCGACAGAAUAAGCACCGGCUAACUUCGUGCCAGCAGCCGCGGUAAUUC